UACGUAGGGUGCAAGCGUUGUCCGGAAUUAUUGGGCGUAAAGAGCUCGUAGGCGGUCUGUCGCGUCGGCUGUGAAAACCCGGGGCUCAACCCCGGGCCUGCAGUCGAUACGGGCAGACUAGAGUGCGGUAGGGGAGACUGGAAUUCCUGGUGUAGCGGUGGAAUGCGCAGAUAUCAGGAGGAACACCGGUGGCGAAGGCGGGUCUCUGGGCAGUAACUGACGCUGAGGAGCGAAAGCGUGGGGAGCAAACAGG
rnacentral:rRNA from 1 species